rnacentral:rRNA from 1 species
GCGCGAAACCUCCGCAAUGCGAGCAAUCGCGACGGGGGGACCCCAAGUGCCACUCUUAACGGGGUGGCUUUUCUUAAGUGUAAAAAGCUUUUGGAAUAAGGGCUGGGCAAGACCGGUGCCAGCCGCCGCGGUAACACCGGCAGCCCAAGUGGUGGCCAUUUUUAUUGGGCCUAAAGCGUUCGUAGCCGGCCUGAUAAGUCUCUGGUGAAAUCCCGCAGCUUAACUGUGGGAAUUGCUGGAGAUACUAUCAGGCUUGAGGUCGGGAGAGGUUAGAGGUACUCCCAGGGUAGGGGUGAAAUCCUAUAAUCCUGGGAGGACCACCUGUGGCGAAGGCGUCUAACUGGAACGAACCUGACGGUGAGUAACCGAAAGCCAGGGGCGCGAACCGGAUUAGAAACCCCG